rnacentral:rRNA from 1 species
GCGGCGCAUUAGUUAGUUGGCGGGGUGAAGGCCCACCAAGACGAUGAUGCGUAGCCGGACUGAGAGGUUGAACGGCCACAUUGGGACUGAGAGACGGCCCAAACUCCUACGGGAGGCAGCAGUAGGGAAUUUUCGGCAAUGGGGGCAACCCUGACCGAGCAACGCCGCGUGAACGACGAAGUACUUCGGUAUGUAAAGUUCUUUUAUCAGGGAAGAAUGGCUUACGGAAAAGUGAGCGUGACGGUACCUGAUGAAUAAGCCCCGGCUAACUAUGUGCCAGCAGCCGCGGUAAUACAUAGGGGGCAAGCGUUAUCCGGAAUUAUUGGGCGUAAAGGGUGCGUAGGUGGCCGUUUAAGUCUUUGGUGUAAGUGCAAGGCUCAACCUUGUGAUGCUAAAGAAACUGAAUGGCUUGAGUGUGGUAGAGGCAAGUGGAAUUCCAUGUGUAGCGGUAAAAUGCGUAAAUAUAUGGAGGAACACCGGUGGCGAAGGCGGCUUGCUGGGCCACAACUGACACUGAGGCACGAAAGCGUGGGGAGCAAACAGGAUUAGAUACCCUGGUAGUCCACGCCGUAAACGAUGAGUACUAAGUGUAGGGGAAACUCUGUGCUGUAGUUAACGCAAUAA